rnacentral:lncRNA from 1 species
UUAAAGAGAAAUUCUUAUUUUUUAUAGUUUUACUAUUAGUGUCGGUUAAUAGUUUGAAAUUUUUUUGAAUACAAUGGCUAGCUGAGUCAGCUAGCCGUUGGGUUUUUUUGUUUUUUUUUUUUUAAUUUUAAACAUUUCUUUUCUUCUAUAAAUAUGGUGAAGUUCUUUCAAUUCUUCACUUCAUUUGCAAUAUUUCCUUCUUUAAUAUUUUUCAAUAUUUCCUUCAAUAUAUUUCUCAAUAUUUCCUUCAAUAUUUCCUUCAAUAUAUUUUCCAAUAUUUCCUUCAUCUAUAAUAUUUGUUUCA